rnacentral:rRNA from 1 species
UCAGUACAAAUAAUAUGCUGUCAACACACAUCGAUCUAAAGGACAAAAAGACCCUCUGAAGCUUUAUAGGGAUAAAACUUGGGUAACAUCUUGAUCUACAAUGUCUCUUAUUGCAUCCCAGCUAAAGUGAUGGAGAUCACGUAUUUUUGUCAAAAUAAACUAAUUUCUCUAAGACCACUGUUUAAUUGGGGCGAUAA